rnacentral:rRNA from 1 species
UGAGGAAUUUUGCGCAAUGGGGGAAACCCUGACGCAGCGACGCCGCGUGGAGGAUGACGGCCUUCGGGUUGUAAACUCCUGUCAGAGGUGAAGAAGUCCCGCAAGGGAUUGACGGUAACUUCAGAGGAAGCCCCGGCUAACUACGUGCCAGCAGCCGCGGUAAUACGUAGGGGGCGAGCGUUGCUCGGAAUUACUGGGCGUAAAGGGUGUGCAGGUGGCUGAGCAAGUCAACGAUGAAAUCCCGAGGCUCAACUUCGGAAUUGUUUUUGAUACUGCUCGGCUUGAGGACAGUUGAGGAGGGCGGAAUUCCCGGUGGAGCGGUGAAAUGCGUAGAUAUCGGGAGGAACACCUGAGGCGAAGGCGGCUCUCUAAACUGCUCCUGACACUGAGACACGAAAGCUAGGGGAGCAAACGGG